rnacentral:rRNA from 1 species
AAAAGUGAAAGACGGUCUUGCUGUCACUUAUAGAUGGAUCCGCGCUGCAUUAGCUAGUUGGUAAGGUAACGGCUUACCAAGGCAACGAUGCAUAGCCGACCUGAGAGGGUGAUCGGCCACACUGGAACUGAGACACGGUCCAGACUCCUACGGGAGGCAGCAGUAGGGAAUCUUCCGCAAUGGGCGAAAGCCUGACGGAGCAACGCCGCGUGAGUGAUGAAGGUCUUCGGAUCGUAAAACUCUGUUAUUAGGGAAGAACAUAUGUGUAAGUAACUGUGCACAUCUUGACGGUACCUAAUCAGAAAGCCACGGCUAACUACGUGCCAGCAGCCGCGGUAAUACGUAGGUGGCAAGCGUUAUCCGGAAUUAUUGGGCGUAAAGC